GACGAACGCUGGCGGCGUGCUUAACACAUGCAAGUCGAACGGUGACGAGGAGCUUGCUCCUCCGAUCAGUGGCGAACGGGUGAGUAACACGUGAGUAACCUGCCCGGACUCUGGGAUAACAGUUGGAAACAGCUGCUAAUACCGGAUACGAGACGGAGAGGCAUCUCUACCGUCUGGAAAGUUCUUCGGUCCGGGAUGGACUCGCGGCCUAUCAGCUAGUUGGUGAGGUAACGGCUCACCAAGGCGACGACGGGUAGCCGGCCUGAGAGGGCGACCGGCCACACUGGGACUGAGACACGGCCCAGACUCCUACGGAGGCAGCAGUGGGGAAUAUUGCACAAUGGGCGAAAGCCUGAUGCAGCGACGCCGCGUGAGGGAUGACGGCCUCGGUU
rnacentral:rRNA from 1 species